UCCCCGUUACCGGGGCAGUUUAUUCAGAAAAAUUCAACUGAAUACAAGGGUUGCGCUCGUUGAUGGACUUAACCAAACAUCUCACGACACGAGCUGACGACGGCCAUGCAACACCUGUCACUUGGUCCAAUAAAGUACUCUCGCCUUUCGGCAAAAUUCCAAGGAUGUCAAACCCUGGUAAGGUUCUUCGCUUACCAUCGAAUUAAAGAGCACGCUCCACCGCUUGUGCGGGUCCCCGUCAAUUCCUUUAUGUUUUAGUCUUGCGACCGUACUCCACAGGCGGGAUGCUUAACGCGUUAGCUUCGCUACUAGAAGGGUCGAUACUUCUAACAGCUAGCAUCCAUCGUUUACGGCGUGGACUAC
rnacentral:misc_RNA from 1 species